rfam:Ovis aries breed Texel chromosome 15, whole genome shotgun sequence.
UCCCUGGUGGCCCAACAGCUAAGACUCUGCACUCCUGAUGCAGGGAGCCCAGGUUCGAGCCCUGGUCAGGGAA